CAUAUCCUCUGAUAAAUAGGUUUCCUUACUUACGCUGUAAGAAGGAUGAAAAGGGAAGUUCGGAAAUACCGACGCGGUCCCGCCACUGUAAUUGGAAGUAUUCCACAAAGUCCACUGUCGAAUGAUGGGAAGGCGUGGAACUACAGAGCCAUAAGCCAGGAGACCUGCCUAUUUAUCAAAACGGGC
rnacentral:ncRNA from 2 species